rnacentral:rRNA from 1 species
UACAGAGGGGGCAAGCGUUAUUCGGAAUUAUUGGGCGUAAAGGGCGCGUAGGCGGCUUGGCAAGUGGAAGGUGAAAUCCCUCGGCUUAACCGAGGAACUGCCCUCCAAACUGCUUGGCUUGAGACCGGGAGAGGUGAGUGGAAUUCCCAGUGUAGCGGUGAAAUGCGUAGAUAUUGGGAGGAACACCAGUGGCGAAGGCGGCUCGCUGGACCGGUACUGACGCUGAUGCGCGAAAGCGUGGGGAGCAAACGGG